UGAAACAUCAUUUCUCUAUAAGAUCACUGAAGUUAAGCAACACUGAGCCUGGUCUAGUACCUAGAUGGGUGACCACUUGGGAAUACCAAGUGCUGUAAG